GGAGCUUGCUCCCUGAUGUUAGCGGCGGACGGGUGAGUAACACGUGGGUAACCUGCCUGUAAGACUGGGAUAACUCCGGGAAACCGGGGCUAAUACCGGAUGGUUGUUUGAACCGCAUGGUUCAAACAUAAAAGGUGGCUUCGGCUACCACUUACAGAUGGACCCGCGGCGCAUUAGCUAGUUGGUGAGGUAACGGCUCACCAAGGCAACGAUGCGUAGCCGACCUGAGAGGGUGAUCGGCCACACUGGGACUGAGACACGGCCCAGACUCCUACGGGAGGCAGCAGUAGGGAAUCUUCCGCAAUGGACGAAAGUCUGACGGAGCAACGCCGCGUGAGUGAUGAAGGUUUUCGGAUCGUAAAGCUCUGUUGUUAGGGAAGAACAAGUACCGUUCGAAUAGGGCGGUACCUUGACGGUACCUAACCAGAAAGCCACGGCUAACUACGUGCCAGCAGCCGCGGUAAUACGUAGGUGGCAAGCGUUGUCCGGAAUUAUUGGGCGUAAAGGGCUCGCAGGCGGUUUCUUAAGUCUGAUGUGAAAGCCCCCGGCUCAACCGGGGAGGGUCAUUGGAAACUGGGGA
rnacentral:rRNA from 1 species